UUCGGAACACAAUACCCUCGGGAAACUGAGGCUAAUAGUGUAUACCACAGUCCACCUGGAAUGAGGACUGUGCCAAACGCUCCGGCGCCGAAGGAUGUGGCUGCGGCCGAUUAGGUAGACGGUGGGGUAACGGCCCACCGUGCCAAUAAUCGGUACGGGUCAUGAGAGUGAGAACCCGGAGACGGAAUCUGAGACAAGAUUCCGGGCCCUACGGGGCGCAGCAGGCGCGAAACCUUUACACUGCACGCCAGUGCGAUAAGGGAAUCCCAAGUGCGUAGGCAUAGAGCCUACGCUUUUGUCCACCGUAGGGAGGUGGACGAAUAAGGGCUGGGCAAGACCGGUGCCAGCCGCCGCGGUAAUACCGGCAGCCCGAGUGAUGGCCGAUCUUAUUGGGCCUAAAGCGUCCGUAGCUGGCCGCGCAAGUCCAUCGGAAAAUCCACCCGCUCAACGGGUGGGCGUCCGGUGGAAACUGCGUGGCUUGGGACCGGAAGGCGCGACGGGUACGUCCGGGGUAGGAGUGAAAUCCCGUAAUCCUGGACGGACCGCCGAUGGCGAAAGCACGUCGCGAGGACGGAUCCGACAGUGAGGGACGAAAGCCAGGGUCUCGAACCGGAUUAGAUACCCGGGUAGUCCUGGCCGUAAACAAUGUCUGUUAGGUGUGGCUCCCACUACGAG
rnacentral:rRNA from 1 species